CCUACGGGUGGCAGCAGUGAGGAAUAUUGGUCAAUGGACGGAAGUCUGAACCAGCCAAGUAGCGUGAAGGAUGACUGCCCUAUGGGUUGUAAACUUCUUUUAUAUGGGAAUAAAAUGUUCCACGUGUGGGAUUUUGUAUGUACCAUAUGAAUAAGGAUCGGCUAACUCCGUGCCAGCAGCCGCGGUAAUACGGAGGAUCCGAGCGUUAUCCGGAUUUAUUGGGUUUAAAGGGAGCGUAGGUGGAUUGUUAAGUCAGUUGUGAAAGUUUGCGGCUCAACCGUAAAAUUGCAGUUGAAACUGGCAGUCUUGAGUACAGUAGAGGUGGGCGGAAUGCGUGGUGUAGCGGUGAAAUGCUUAGAUAUCACGAAGAACUCCGAUUGCGAAGGCAGUUCACUGGACUGCAACUGACACUGAGGCUCGAAAGUGUGGGUAUCAAACAGGAUUAGAUACCCCAGUAGUC
rnacentral:rRNA from 1 species